rnacentral:lncRNA from 1 species
CACAUAGAGAAAUGCACACACACAUCACACUCACAGAGACAGAGACACGCAUCACAUCACACAUAUUACAUACACACAUAUCACAUCAUACACACAUUACACACACACACAGACACAAACACACACAGAGAUAGAGACACGCAUCACAUCACACACACACAAAUCAAACACACACACAACAUUACACACACACAUCACACACACACACACAUCACAUACACACACACACGUCACACACACACAUACACACACAUCACACACACAUCACACAUCACAUACACACACACGCACACACACAUAUGACACACACACAUAUAUCAUAUCACACACACACAUAUCACAUACACACACAUCACACACAAACACACACACAGCAGACACACACACACACAUCACACACACAUACACACAUCACACACACACACACAUCACACACACACACAAAGAGACACAUGCACACACAUCACACCCACAGACACACAAAUAUCACACAAACGUCACACAUACAUCACACACAUGCACACAUUCUCUCUCACACACUCACAAACAUCAUACACACACACAGCACAUCAACAGUUGCACACACAUACAAUCAUACCACAGCACAGUCAAUCAUAUACAGCUACCAACAUCAACAUGCAAUCAACACACACACAUCACUCUAACAUCACAACACAUCAACACACAACACAUGAUUCACACACACACAUCCACACAUCAUACAAAAGAUUCAUUCACACACACACAAGCACCAACACACCAUCAAUAUCACACACACACACCACACAUCACAUACAUCACACAACACAUCACAACACACACACCGACACACACACAUCAAUACACACAACUCACACACACACUAACACACAAAUACACACAUCAAAAUAUACACACACACAUCACACACAACACAUUACACACACACACUAUCACAAUGCACACAUACACACACACACAUAUUACAUCACACACACAAUCACACACCACAUAUCAACACACAACACACACAUUACCCACUAUAUACACAGACAGACACAAUGAACACACAUCAUUAUGAAAACAAUACGCACACACACACACAUAACGACAACAACCACCCAUAUCACGCACUAGGCACAACACACACCUAUCAUACAAUCACACACACAUCACACCGCAUACACAUAAACACUCACAUCCACAAAUCGACACACAUUACCACACACAUACGUACACAAUAUAUCAACACCACACACAUCACAUUGAUCAACGACUAGUCAUGAACACGACACACACAUAUAUAUCACACAACACACACACAUCACACACACAUAUAUAUACUAAUCACACACACAUCACACACACACACAUCACAUCACACACACAUAGAGAAAUGCACACACACAUCACACUCACAGAGACAGAGACAUGUAUCACAUCACACAUAUUACAUACACACACAUCACAUCAUACACACAUUACACACACACACAAACACAAACACACACAGAGAUAGAGACAUGUAUCACAUCACACACACACACACACACACACACACAUCAAACACACACAACAUUACACACACACACACAUCACACACACACACACACAUCAAACACACAACAUUACACACACACAUCACACACACACACAUCACAUACACACACACGUCACACACACACAUACACACACACAUCACACACACACACGCACACAUAUAUGACACACACACACAUAUGUCAUAUCACACACACACACAUAUCACAUACACACACAUCACACACAUACACACACAAACACACACACAUCAGACACACACACACACACACAUCAAACACACAUACACACAUCACACACACAUCACACACGAACACAAAGAGACACAUGCACACACAUCACACCCACAGACACAUAAAUAUCACAC